UACGAGUGUGGGCAGAUAAAAAGUCGGCCUAACAAAAAAAAAUUUUUUUUUUAAAUUCGUAAAUAUUUUAUUCGAUUACGGUUUUAUCAACACUCGUAAUUUUGGCGGGACUUUUAAUGCGUUCACUUUUGCAUUGUCGUCAACAUGAAUAAAAUCGAAUAUCGUGCUGUCAUAAGAUUUCUGUUUUUAAAAGAGAAAUCCAAUGACGAUAUUAAAAAGAAGUUAGACAAAGUUUAUAAGGAUUAUGCUCCAUCGUUUUCAACAAUAAAAUAUUGGACUGCUGAAUUUAAACGCGGGCGGACAAGCAUUUUUGACGAUGAUCGCCCGGGUCGUCCCAGAGAGGUAACAACACUAGAAAUUGUGGAUAAAGUCCAUGGAAUGAUAUUGGAUGAUCGCCGCCGAAUCAAGCUGCGAGAGAUUGCAAAUGCUCUAAACAUUUCUCGGGAACGCGUUAUAAACGUUAUACACGAAUUUUUACACAUGAGUAAGCUUUCGUCAAGAUGGGUGCCGCGAUUGCUCACAAUGGAAAAUAAA